GCUUCUAUAGUGUAGUGGUAUCACCUCAGAUUCUGAUUCUGAUAACCCCGGUUCGAACCCGGGUAGGAGCU
rfam:Ogataea parapolymorpha DL-1 chromosome VII, whole genome shotgun sequence.